rnacentral:rRNA from 1 species
UUUAUGGAGAGUUUGAUCCUGGCUCAGGAUGAACGCUGGCGGCGUGCCUAAUACAUGCAAGUCGAGCGAACGGACGAGAAGCUUGCUUCUCUGAUGUUAGCGGCGGACGGGUGAGUAACACGUGGAUAACCUACCUAUAAGACUGGGAUAACUUCGGGAAACCGGAGCUAAUACCGGAUAAUAUUUUGAACCGCAUGGUUCAAAAGUGAAAGACGGUCUUGCUGUCACUUAUAGAUGGAUCCGCGCUGCAUUAGCUAGUUGGUAAGGUAACGGCUUACCAAGGCAACGAUGCAUAGCCGACCUGAGAGGGUGAUCGGCCACACUGGAACUGAGACACGGUCCAGACUCCUACGGGAGGCAGCAGUAGGGAAUCUUCCGCAAUGGGCGAAAGCCUGACGGAGCAACGCCGCGUGAGUGAUGAAGGUCUUCGGAUCGUAAAACUCUGUUAUUAGGGAAGAACAUAUGUGUAAGUAACUGUGCACAUCUUGACGGUACCUAAUCAGAAAGCCACGGCUAACUACGUGCCAGCAGCCGCGGUAAUACGUAGGUGGCAAGCGUUAUCCGGAAUUAUUGGGCGUAAAGCGCGCGUAGGCGGUUUUUUAAGUCUGAUGUGAAAGCCCACGGCUCAACCGUGGAGGGUCAUUGGAAACUGGAAAACUUGAGUGCAGAAGAGGAAAGUGGAAUUCCAUGUGUAGCGGUGAAAUGCGCAGAGAUAUGGAGGAACACCAGUGGCGAAGGCGACUUUCUGGUCUGUAACUGACGCUGAUGUGCGAAAGCGUGGGGAUCAAACAGGAUUAGAUACCCUGGUAGUCCACGCCGUAAACGAUGAGUGCUAAGUGU